rnacentral:rRNA from 1 species
GACGAACGCUGGCGGCGUGCUUAACACAUGCAAGUCGAACGGUAAGGCCCUUCGGGGUACACGAGUGGCGAACGGGUGAGUAACACGUGGGUGAUCUGCCCUGCACUUCGGGAUAAGCCUGGGAAACUGGGUCUAAUACCGGAUAGGACCUCGCACUUCACGGUGUGUGGUGGAAAGCUUUUGCGGUGUGGGAUGGGCCCGCGGCCUAUCAGCUUGUUGGUGGGGUAAUGGCCUACCAAGGCGACGACGGGUAGCCGGCCUGAGAGGGUGAACGGCCACACUGGGACUGAGAGACGGCCCAGACUCCUACGAGAGGCAGCAGUGGGGAAUAUUGCACAAUGGGCGCAAGGCUGAUGCAGCGACGCCGCGUGAGGGAUGACGGCCUUCGGGUUGUAAACCUCUUUCAGUAGGGACGAAGCGCAAGUGACGGUACCUACAGAAGAAGGACCGGCCAACUACGUGCCAGCCGCCGCGGUAA